GAUGAACGCUGGCGGCGUGCCUAAUACAUGCAAGUCGAGCGAACGGACGAGAAGCUUGCUUCUCUGAUGUUAGCGGCGGACGGGUGAGUAACACGUGGAUAACCUACCUAUAAGACUGGGAUAACUUCGGGAAACCGGAGCUAAUACCGGAUAAUAUUUUGAACCGCAUGGUUCAAAAGUGAAAGACGGUCUUGCUGUCACUUAUAGAUGGAUCCGCGCUGCAUUAGCUAGUUGGUAAGGUAACGGCUUACCAAGGCAACGAUGCAUAGCCGACCUGAGAGGGGGGUCGGCCACAGUGGAAGUAUGACCCAGACCAGACUCCGACGUGAGGAAGGAACAGAGCGUGUUCAGAGAAGGGCUAAAGUUUGACCAAGCAACUCAGAGGGGAUGAUCAAGCUCGUAAGAUCUUGAAACUAUGUUAUUAGUAAAUAACCUGUAAGCAAGUAACUGUGCACAGCGUGCAGGUACGGAAUCAGUAAGCCGAGCCUAACUGCGU
rnacentral:rRNA from 1 species